AUUGAAGAGUUUGAUCAUGGCUCAGAUUGAACGCUGGCGGCAGGCCUAACACAUGCAAAGUCGAGCGGUAACAGGAAGGAAGCUUGCUUUCUUUGCUGACGAGCGGCGGACGGGUGAGUAAUGCCUGGGAAAUUGCCCUGAUGUGGGGAUAACCAUUGGAAACGAUGGCUAAUACCGCAUGAUGCCUUCGGCUCAAAGAGGGGGACCUUCGGGCCUCUCGCGUCAGGAUAUGCCCAGGUGGGAUUAGCUAGUUGGUGAGGUAAUGGCUCACCAAGGCGACGAUCCCUAGCUGGUCUGAGAGGAUGAUCAGCCACACUGGAACUGAGACACGGUCCAGACUCCUACGGGAGGCAGCAGUGGGGAAUAUUGCACAAUGGGCGCAAGCCUGAUGCAGCCAUGCCGCGUGUAUGAAGAAGGGCCUUCGGGUUGUAAAGUACUUUCAGUCGUGA
rnacentral:rRNA from 1 species